rnacentral:lncRNA from 1 species
GUGUACCACACUUUGUUGCUCCAUCAUUUAAGAUGCAUGACUUGUUCAGGAUCACCACACCAGGGGCCAAACCACAGCCCAAAGACUGCAGGAGCUGUUCUUCUUCUCUCAGGGCCUGAGGGAUCACGGGCCCCUGGACAGAACCGUCAGGAAGAAGAAAAACAUUUUAGGCCACCAGAGUGUUCCAUUAUCCAAAGUGAGUGUGGAAACAGAGCUGGAAAUCACGGCGCACCUUAAAUACCAUUUGCAUCAGCGUCAUUUGAAGGGAACCACUCAGAAUUCGUCUCUUGAGGAGAAAGAAGCCGCAGUGUUUCAGCAAACGAGGUUCAAGGUU